rnacentral:rRNA from 1 species
GACGAACGCUGGCGGCGUGCUUAACACAUGCAAGUCGAACGGAAAGGCCCCUUUGGGGGUACUCGAGUGGCGAACGGGGGAGUAACACGUGAGUAACCUGCCCUUGACUUCGGGAUAACUUCAGGAAACUGGGGCUAAUACCGGAUAGGAAUCCUUGCUGCAUGGUGGGGGUUGGAAAGCUUCGGCGGUUUUGGAUGGACUCGCGGCUUAUCAGCUUGUUGGUGGGGUAGUGGCUUACCAAGGCUUUGACGGGUAGCCGGCCUGAGUGGGCGACCGGCCACAUUGGGACUGAGGUACGGCCCAGACUCGUACGGGAGGCAGCAGGGGGGAAUAUUGCACAAGGGGCGGAAGCCUGAUGCAGCAACGCCGCGUGCGGGAUGACGGCCUUAGGGUUGUAAACCGCUUUCAGCAGGGGCGGAGCUUGUGGUGACGGUACCUGCAGAAGAAGCACCGGCUAACUACGUG